rnacentral:other from 1 species
UUUCCCCUGCUGUGUUUGACAGGAAAGUUCAUAUUUGAAGAACCGAUAAACCUUAUUCAGGGAAGUUAGGACCCCGCGGCUCAAAAAAGCCUCUUUAAGGGGACUUUUGGACGCGGUAAGCCGACUGCCCACCUUGAAAUACAGGGUUCUUUAAAUUGCCUUCCAUCGGCAUCGGCGGAGGUUAC